CAGCAGCCACGGUAAUACGAAGGGUGCAAGCGUUACUCGGAAUUACUGGGCGUAAAGCGUGCGUAGGUGGUGGUUUAAGUCCGUUGUGAAAGCCCUGGGCUCAACCUGGGAAUUGCAGUGGAUACUGGAUCACUAGAGUGUGGUAGAGGAUAGUGGAAUUUCCGGUGUAGCAGUGAAAUGCGUAGAGAUCGGAAGGAACAUCUGUGGCGAAGGCGACUAUCUGGGCCAACACUGACACUGAGGCACGAAAGCGUGGGGAGCAAACAGGAUUAGAUACCCCGGUAGUCCCUGUCUCUUAUAA
rnacentral:rRNA from 1 species